ACCGGCGCACGGGUGCGUAACGCGUAUGCAACCUGCCCCCAUCAGGGGAAUAGCCCGCCGAAAGGCGGAUUAAUGCCCCAUAGGCCCAGGGCGCUGCAUGGCGCUUUGGGUAAAGCUCCGGCGGAUGGGGAUGGGCAUGCGUGCCAUUAGCUAGUUGGGGCGGUAACGGCGCACCAAGGCGACGAUGGCUAGGGGGUCUGAGAGGAUGGUCCCCCACACUGGUACUGAGACACGGACCAGACUCCUACGGGAGGCAGCAGUGAGGAAUAUUGGUCAAUGGGCGGAAGCCUGAACCAGCCAUGCCGCGUGCAGGAUGACGGCCCUACGGGUUGUAAACUGCUUUUCCCCGGGAAGAAUAAGCCCCUCGUGAGGGGUGAUGCCGGUACCGGGGGAAUAAGGAUCGGCUAACUCCGUGCCAGCAGCCGCGGUAAUACGGAGGAUCCGAGCGUUAUCCGGAUUUACUGGGUUUAAAGGGUGCGUAGGCGGGCGCCUAAGUCAGCGGUGAAAUGCAGCGGCUCAACCGUUGAACUGCCGUUGAAACUGGGCGCCUUGGAUGCGGUCGAGGCCGGCGGAAUGCGUGGUGUAGCGGUGAAAUGCUUAGAUAUCACGCAGAACGCCAAUUGCGAAGGCAGCUGGCCGGGCCGCAAUCGACGCUGAGGCACGAAAGCGUGGGGAUCAAACAGGAUUAGAUACCCUGGUAGUCCACGCCGUAAACGAUGAUGGCUAGCUGUUGGCGAUACACAGUCAGCGGCUGAGCGAAAGCGGUAAGCCAUCCACCUGGGGAGUACGGUCGCAAGAUUGAAACUCAAAGGAAUUGACGGGGGCCCGCACAAGCGGAGGAACAUGUGGUUUAAUUCGAUGAUACGCGAGGAACCUU
rnacentral:rRNA from 1 species